CCUCGGCCUCCCAAAGUGCUGAGAUUUUUGGCUUAAGCCACUGCGCCCGGCCCUAUUUUCUAUGUAAUUUGAAAGGCGCUGUAGAAUUUGAUGAGUCGGGAAGCAGAAGCAACUGUGGCUCCACAACCUUUUUCUCCUCUGCUUUUAAGGCAUGUGUUCUUUUGGGGUGGAUCUGAUUUUGUUCUGGUGUUCUGAAUCAAAGCAGAAGCACGUGCAGGGGAGGUGGGAAGGGUGUCAGUGUAAUCACAAAGGGGAACGCUCCCUGGCUCCAGCUCUCAGGAGGCUCCUGAGGGCUCCCGAAGAAAACUGUGCUGCCUUCUGGAUUCCAGGCAGCACAGGCUCCCUUCAGUUGAACCUGAGGCAGUUCCAGCCCGCCAAGCCAUUUCCCUUGGCCACCCAGAGCUAGACGGGGAAGAGGUAAAGGAGAUUUUGGCAAGAACAGGCUACUGGCCCCUGCUGCUAAAACAUGCCUGCCCACAGUGCUUCAGAGAAAGGAUACUCUCCUGAUAUACCACGAUGCAGAAUGUCAAGUAGGAAAAGAAGCUGUUGCAUUGGGCAAUUAAGAAGUCAUUGGUGAGAGAAGUUUCAGUCUGAAGUGGAAUCAUAGUAAAUUACAGAAAAAUAGUCUUUGGAGAGAGAAGGAAUCUGGUUAAUCCACAGGCCACACAAUCAUGGUUGAAAAUUAGUGAAUGAGCGAAUGAUGGAUCCAUCUCUUGAAGCAAUACUUGAAUCGCAGAAUUCUUAUAUUGAUAGAAGCAGAAGGAAACCAGAAGUGCUCCAAUUAAAGGCCUCCAUUUUUCAGAUCAGCAGACUAUGAGCCAUGCAUAGGAUCACACACAGUCCCUUUCAGGAAGCUACUCCGUGAAACCCCCAUGGCUGUGAGAAGUCUUUGACUGGAGGACUCUCACAUCAUAUGCUACCUUUGCCAGUCCCGCCCACACCUGCGAAUCAGCUGCCAGCACUGCACCUGUGAUUUCUAAAUUGCCAUCUCCUGAUCUCUACGUAACCUCCGGUUGCACAUUUCCAGUUCCUUACCGGAUCUACCCCACAAAGGUCCAUAUGUUCCUCAACGUCUCCAAGACUUCAUCUAAUUGUCCUGCCUGCCACCCCCAUCUCUCCUUUAGCACUUCUAUUUCUUAUUUCCUAAGUCAAUUGAUAGGAUUGCAAGAAAGUUUGGGGUUAUCUUGGAAUACUUCCCGACUCACAACUCCUGCGCAGAUGGGGGAUGCAUUACAGCCCUGUGUCUGCUCCGGACGGGAGCUGAGCUCAUCUGCUAGACUUCAUGGACUUGAACCUGGACUGCUUUGGAGUUCAUUCAUGUUCUACCCACACUUGGAUAACAGCUCAGAAUAAGCACAGAAGCUUUCCAUUUUUUUGUUUUGAAUAAAUAUGGGAAAGUAUAAAGGGUAAUGGGAAAUAAAAUAAAAAUAUGGGAAAGUAUAAAGGAUAAUGUAACAAAAACCCAUAUUCCUAGAAAUGGUAACACCUAGAAAUAUUAACUUUUCAAAUUUUGUCCUAUUUGCUUGUGGUAUUUUAAUUUGAGAAAGUAUAAAGGAUGAUGUAACAAAAACCUAUAUUCCUAGAAAUGUUAACACCUAGAAAUAUUAACUUUUCAAAUUUUGUCAUAUGUGCUUGAAGUAUUUUUUUAAGGCAAUAAAGCAUUAGAGUUAAAACUAAAAUCCUCUUUAGCCUCCAACCCUAGUGUUCCCAGUCCGCACCCCAAGGGCCACUAUCAUCAUAGGAUGGUGUAUAGCUAUGCGGUCCGUUCAUUUCUUUUAUUUCUUUCUACUGAUAUGAAAUUUAUUUAUUGCAUUUCUAGUCUAUUAGUGUUAAUAAAGUUUUAAUGUGUAUACUUAUAUAUUUUUUCAAAACUUAAAAUUCACCAAUGUCUAUAUUCUCUGUAACAUGGCAAUAUAGUUACAUUCUGUGCUAUUUUCAAACACUCUCCUUAUCUGAACACCAUGUUAACACCUACGUCUCAGUUCAAGCUUAUUUUAAUCACAACAUUUUUUCUCUUUCUUUUCUUCUUUUCUUUUUUGUCUUCCUCUUUCUGUUACUGCUUUAGGAUUUAUUAAUUAUGAUAGGAUUGCAAGGACAUUUGGGGUUAUCUUGGAAUACUUCCCGACUCACAACUCUGUUGGAAGAAAUACUAGAAUCCUGUUUCUGCCGCAUUUGUGUCUUGAUCCUUGAAACUUAUGCCCUCUGUUCCUCAAGGACCUAAAACAGAAACACCACUCGACCCAGCAAUCCCAUUACUGGGUAUAUACCAAAAGGAGUAGAAAUUGUUCUAUCAUAAAGACACAUGCACACAUAUGUUCAUUGCAGCACUAUUUACAACAGCAAAGACAUGGAAUCGACCUAAAUGCCCAUCAGUGGUAGACUGGAUAAAGAAAAUGUUGUACAUAUACAACAUGGAAUACUACGCAGCCAGGAAAAAUGACAAGAUUAUGCCCUUUGCAGGAACAUGGGUGGAGCUGGAGGCAUUAUCCUUAGCAAACUAACAGAGGAAUAGAAAACUAAAUACUGCAUGUUCUCACUUACAAAUGCAAGCAAAAUGAUGAGAACACAUGGACACAAAGAGGGAAACAACACACACUGGGGUUUUUUCAGAGGGUGAAGUGUAGGAGGGAGAGGAUGGGGAAAAAUAAUAACUAAUGAGUACAAGGCUUAAUACCUGGGUGAUGAAAUAAUCUGUACGACAAACCCCCGUGACACAAGCUUACCUAUAUAACAGACCUGCACAUGUACGCCUGA
rnacentral:lncRNA from 10 species